rnacentral:rRNA from 1 species
CUUGAACGCUGGCGGCAGGCCUAACACCUGCAAGUCGAACGAGUGGCGCACGCGUGAGUUAUCUCUUGGAAACUGCCCGAAGGAGGGGGAUAACUACUGGAAAGGGUAGCUAAUCCCGCAUACCAUACCAUGCGCCCAUAUGGGAUUAGAUAGUAUGUGGGGUAGCGGCUCACCUGGGCGGACAGCCCUAGCUGGUGUGAGAGGACCACCAGCCGCACUGGAACUGAGACACGGUCCAGACUCCGCCGCGAGGCAGCAGUGGGGAAUAUUGCACAAUGGGCGCACGCCUGAUGAAGCCAUGCCGCGUGUAUGAAGAAGGCCUUCGGGUUGUAAAGUACUUUCAGCGAGGAGGCGUUACUCGCAGAAGAAGCACCAGCUAACUCCGUGCCAGCAGCCGCGGUAAUAC